UCCGAACACCCAUCCAUCCCCC
rnacentral:miRNA from 1 species